CUGCAUCUUCUAGCUACCCAGAUCUUUUCUCCUUAGACGUCUCAACUGAAAGAAACUUCCUUUUCUGCCUGGAGAAAGAACUUGUGAAAGCAUCCACCACUGUGUAGCCCGGGUAUGAGAGGUGCCAACUGUUUAUACAUCACAUGCCCAGAAACCACCCGAAGGACAUUCCAGAACACUGUGCUGCUGGCCUUUCCUUCAAGUUGCAGAGUCUGCAAGUGACGUGAAACCAACAAGUGUUCAUCCAUUCUCCCUAACAAAUAGGCUAUUUGGUAUAAGAGACAAAAAUUGUGAAGUGAAAUUACCUUUCUGUUACAAGUUUCUAAGGACAAUUAAUUUUAGGUGGUUGGCAAAUACAAUGUGAAAAGAAGUGGAUUGUUAAGUAGCUAUGUGAGUUCAGCUUUUUUCCCCCUCCUAAUGAGGCACUUAAAAUCUUACCUUUUAAGUAUAUUGCUUGAUUAUUGUGAAUUAUGUUUGCAGUGUGACAAAUAUUUUUAAAAAACAAAGGAUUUUCAUGGAGGGAAAUCAAAUCAGGAAUAAAUGUAUGGGUGUGAAAUCCUUUCAUUGCUACAAUAAUAGGAUAAUUUAUGUAAUACCUCAAGCAUCCAAAUCUUUUAAUAGCUUUUUUGAAAUAUAAAACACUGAAAAAAAUCAGUUAUGCCUGUUCC
rnacentral:lncRNA from 1 species